GAAAUAGCUCAAGUUGGUAGAGCAACUGAAUCGUAAUCAGUAGGUUGCGGGUUCAAUUCCUGCUUUCAGC
rnacentral:tRNA from 3 species